rnacentral:rRNA from 1 species
CCUACGGGUGGCUGCAGUAAGGAAUAUUGGUCAAUGGUGGGAACACUGAACCAGCCAUCCCGCGUGCAGGACGAAGGCCCUCUGGGUUGUAAACUGCUUUUAACAGGGAAGAAACGGGCGGAUUUAUCUGCUCCUGACGGUACCUGUGGAAUAAGCACCGGCUAACUCCGUGCCAGCAGCCGCGGUAAUACGGAGGGUGCGAGCGUUAUCCGGAAUCACUGGGUUUAAAGGGUGCGUAGGCGGCCUGGUAAGUCAGGGGUGAAAGCUUCCCGCUC